AGGGCGCACGGAGGAUGCCUUGGCACUAGGAGCCGAUGAAGGACGUGACAAACGACGAAAUGCUACGGGGAGCUGUAAGUAAGCAAAGAGCCGUAGAUAUCCGAAUGGGGGAACCCACCGUUUUUAAAAGGGCGGUACGCGAAAGCGAGGUAACGCAGGGAACUGAAACAUCUAAGUACCUGUAGGAAGAGAAAGAAAAAUCGAUUUCCUUAGUAGCGGCGAGCGAAAAGGAAGGAGCCCAAACCAAUGUGCUUGCAUAUUGGGGUUGUAGGACUCUCAAUAAAUCGUAUGACGAAGUAUAGUAGAACAAGCUGGAAAGUUAGACCGUAGAAGGUAAAAGUCCUGUAUACGAAAUGCUAAGUUGGCGAGAGAGAGCACCUGAGUACGGCGGAACACGAGGAAUUCCGUCGGAAUCUACCAGGACCAUCUGGUAAGGCUAAAUACUACCUAGUGACCGAUAGUGAACCAGUACCGUGAGGGAAAGGUGAAAAGAACCCCGGGAGGGGAGUGAAAGAGAACCUGAAACCGUGUGCUUACAAGUAGUCAGAGCCCCUUUGUGGGUGAUGGCGUGCCUUUUGUAGAAUGAACCGGCGAGUUACUUUAUCAUGCAAGGUUAAGUGGAAGACAUGGAGCCGAAGCGAAAGCGAGUCUUAAUAGGGCGAAAUAGUAUGAUGGAGUAGACCCGAAACCAAGUGAUCUACCCAUGGCCAGGUUGAAGUUUAGGUAACACUGAAUGGAGGACCGAACCAGGACACGUUGAAAAGUGUUUGGAUGAGCUGUGGGUAGCGGAGAAAUUCCAAUCGAACUUGGAAAUAGCUGGUUCUCUCCGAAAUAGCUUUAGGGCUAGCCUCGUUGUGAGUUUACUGGAGGUAGAGCACUGUUUGGACUAGGGGCCCAUCCCGGGUUACCGAAUUCAGACAAACUCCGAAUGCCAGAUAAAUAUCAACGGGAGUCAGACUGCGGGUGAUAAGGUUCGUAGUCGAAAGGGAAACAGCCCAGACCGCCAGCUAAGGUCCCAAAUUGUAUGUUAAGUGGAAAAGGAUGUGAUGAUGCACAGACAACCAGGAUGUUGGCUUAGAAGCAGCCACCAUUUAAAGAGUGCGUAAUAGCUCACUGGUCGAGUGACAUCGCGCCGAAAAUGUACCGGGGCUAAACAUACAACCGAAGCUGCGGAUAUAACUAAUGUUAUAUGGUAGGAGAGCGUUCUAACAUCAUAGAAGCUGAGCUGUAAGGCGAGGUGGAGAGGUUAGAAGUGAGAAUGCCGGUGUGAGUAGCGAAAGAUAGGUGAGAAUCCUAUCCACCGAAUGACUAAGGUUUCCAGAGGAAGGCUCGUCCGCUCUGGGUAAGUCGGGACCUAAGGUGAAGCCGAAUGGUGAAGCCGAUGGACAACAGGUAGAAAUUCCUGUACCACCAAAUAUCGUUUGAGAGAAGUGGGGACAGAGGAGGCUAAUUGAUCGUCCUGAUGGAAUAGGACGUCUAAGCACAAAGGUUGAGUAGUAGGCAAAUCCGCUGCUCGUAAGACUGAAGUGUGAUGGGGAGCGAAAUAUAGUAGCGAAGUCAAUGAAGCCAAACUCUCAAGAAAAGCCGCUAUCGAGAUAAGAGGUGCCCGUACCGCAAACCGACACAGGUAGUUGGGAAGAGAAUUCUAAGGUGAGCGAGAGAACCAUCGUUAAGGAACUCGGCAAAAUGACCCCGUAACUUCGGGAGAAGGGGUGCCUACGAGAGUAGGCCGCAGUGAAUAGGCCCAAGCGACUGUUUAACAAAAACACAGGUCUCUGCAAAACCGUAAGGUGAAGUAUAGGGGCUGACGCCUGCCCGGUGCUGGAAGGUUAAGAGGAGUGCUUAGCGUAAGCGAAGGUAUGAAUUGAAGCCCCAGUAAACGGCGGCCGUAACUAUAACGGUCCUAAGGUAGCGAAAUUCCUUGUCGGGUAAGUUCCGACCCGCACGAAAGGCGUAACGAUUUGGGCACUGUCUCAACGAUGGACUCGGUGAAAUCAUAGUACCUGUGAAGAUGCAGGUUACCCGCGACAGGACGGAAAGACCCCAUGGAGCUUUACUGUAGCUUGAUAUUGAAUUUUGAUGCAGUAUGUACAGGAUAGGUAGGAGCCUAAGAAUCAUGCACGCCAGUGUAUGAGGAGGCGUUGUUGGGAUACUACCCUUGCUGUAUUGAAAUUCUAACCCUCGGCAUAGAAAACCGGGAGACAGUGUCAGGUGGGCAGUUUGACUGGGGCGGUCGCCUCCCAAAGAGUAACGGAGGCGUUCA
rnacentral:rRNA from 1 species